CAGUAGCCACGGUAAUACGAGGGGGGCAAGCGUUGUUCGGAUUUAUUGGGCGUAAAGGGUGCGUAGGCGGUUUGGCAAGUCUUGUGUGAAAUCUUCGGGCUCAACCCGAAGCCUGCACGAGAAACUACCGGGCUUGAGUAUUGGAGAGGUGAGUGGAAUUUCCGGUGUAGCGGUGAAAUGCGUAGAUAUCGGAAGGAACACCUGUGGCGAAAGCGGCUCACUGGACAAUAACUGACGCUGAUGCACGAAAGCUAGGGGAGCAAACAGGAUUAGAUACCCGCGUAGUCCCUGUCUCUUAUAC
rnacentral:rRNA from 1 species